rnacentral:misc_RNA from 1 species
GCGUCGCCGCGCGGGAGAGGCAAGACUUGAAUGCAUGCUGCAUGUUAAAUAUUAUGGCAAACAACGGGGCCGACUCCGCACAGGCUCACACAAUGGAGCGCAGCACUAUCACCGCUGGCGUGCAUCUGCCUACAUGUUUGUCUAUGGUCGGAUGCGGCUGUGCAUUUCACUUUCUAUUCUGACUAGAAAAAUAAUGCCCUUGAUGCUGCCGGCCACCCCACCGCGGGUGCCUGGGUGCGGCACCCAACGCUGUGCGGAAGCCAAGCGCCCACACCCAGCGCUUCGUGUGGUGGGCCUCGGACUCUUGGUGUCGGCGGACAGGUCUGGGCUGGCGGUGUGCCGAAGAGACGUGCGGCCUUGAUGGUCGCGUUGGGGCCCGCUCGCUACGAAUCGUGCCGACGGCUCAACACGUGUGCGCAACGGCGUGCAGCGGGCGCGAGUCUCUGUGCGGCGCCGGUGGCGCCGCACGUAUCCGAGGAAGGACGAGAAUGCAGGGCGCAUGACCCGACUCGACGGCAGACGGCUCGUGCUGGACGACGAGGAUUUAGCGGUGGCGCAGCAGAGGCAGGUGGGCUGCGGCUGCGUGCGCGUAUUCGCUGAGCUGCUCGCGGUACUAUGGCAUGUAAUCAAGAAAAGGGGUCUGCCGUUUUGUGUACUGACGUAAUGCUUGGAUUUUGGUGGAUUAUGGCUGCAGCGGUGAGCGCUGGUGGUCGUGCUGGACGUACUGCAUAUACGCAGAGGUUCUGGAUUGCUGUAGUACAUCGACCGGCUCUGUGUUGUACAUGUAGGGAAUGAGCUAGACGAUGCCUGCCGCGGUGAAAGUGUGCACCGCUUCUGGGGGUUCUGUGCACUGCCAGAGCAUCUAUUCGUGUACGCAUGUCUGCACCCUCGUCCCUCUUUGGUGGUUUUUGUUCAUGUACGCCGUUACCCACUUUUUUUGUUCGGUUUCCGGAGGCUGCAGGGAGACCUUGAUUCUGUGUUUGUCGGGCGGUGAGCGACGAGUGCUGCCGCGACCCAAGAG